CUCCAUGUCUUCUCGCUAAGCAGCUCAAGCUGUUGCUGCUUUAAGCCUAGAACUGACUGCUUCCCAUGACACGAGCUUCUCCAUAAAGAUGGAUAUGUAGUCAGGCCGCCGGUUCUACAAGCAAAACAUGGUAGUGCUACCGUUAAGAGAGUUCAAACAUAUGUCUUGAGGAAACAUGGAACAUCAAAGAAAAUAUUUAAGUAGUUUCAUCAGCCAGGCUUACCUGAAAGUCCAGAUAGUAGGCAUGCUGCAAUAUCAAACACAAAAUUAAAAGAAUAAGACAUCACUUCCUAAAUCAUUUCAACCACCCGCCUUCCAACGGGAGAGAGAAAAAAAAAAAGAAAAAAACCCAAAUUCAGAUAGAUUUAAGACAAGUGAGUGUGUCUACUUACCUCCCAAACGUCUAUGGUGAGGAGCGGCUGCAACCAAAACCACAGUUGUGAGAUUCCACUAUAUUAUUAACUACUAGGUAUGUAAGAUAAAACCACAGUAGUGAGGUUUGCACUAUAAUACUAACUACUAGGUAUGUAAGAUAAAAUCCUCAUGAACAAAAGAAACAGAGAAGCACACGUUAUACUCACUGUGUAACCCAAAACAAGAGGAUUUUCAGCGUUAGGAGUUUUCACCAAGGCAAGCUUUUUCUCUUCAGGUUUGUCUACAAAGUAACAAAUGCAUCACUUUUCAGCUAUUUGGCUCAGUUUUAAAAAAGGGUUAUACGGACACAUAGAUAUGCAGACAAAGGCAAAGAAUUUCUCACAUGCAAGCCAGGCCCAACCGGAGCCAAAUUGUGUUGCCGCAGCUGCCUUAAAUUCUUUAACAAAUGCAUCAUAGGAACCAAAGUCUCUGUUGAUUAGUUCUAAUAAUUCACCAGAUGGCUCUCCUCCUCCGUUGGGCUUCAUUGAUUCCCAGAAAAACUGAUGAUUCCAGGCCUGUAAUGCGAAAGAAGAUAUAACAGGACUCAGCAACUCAGCGUUUUACAUGUAAAAAUAGCCAAAAGUGCAUAAACCAUUGAACCAACAGACUGACUUGUUAUAGUCAAUGCCUUACUUUGAUACCUUAAAAACUGUUGCAUUACAAACAAAUACAGCAAUCAAAUGUUAAGUUCCCAUCAAAGACUUGGAUCAUUUAGAAAUGAAAUAUUACUCUUGUAAAGAAUUUUCUUUUUUAACCAUACCAAACAGAUUCAGAAAUUCAUUGAUAAGGGACUUGAUUGUACAUAACAGAAAUCUCUUUCCUGAGCAAGUAAAUUAACCACUCAGGAAGCCUCUCAAGCGGUUAAACAAAAAAGGAGGGGAAGGAGAGAAGUGAUACUUUACCUGAGCUGCAUUGUUGAAUGCUGGGAGGGGAGCACCUUUAUUAUAUGUAACAAGUAUUAUGUCUUCUAGUGUCUUUCCAUCUAGUUCUGUUCCGUCUAUUUGCUUGUUUAAGUUGUCGACAUAAGCUCUGUGAUGCUUCCCCCAGUGGAAUUC
rnacentral:lncRNA from 1 species